UGCAAUAUGAAUCGGCCGGUCUUCAGUGAAGCUACGUGGACGUGAAAAGGCACCUUUUCCACGCAGUGAUCUAAAAAUUACUCACGAUCGCGCCCUGUAAGAAAAUAAUUAUGACGUGUCUAGCUAGCUAAACUAUAAUGAAUUCCAUUCAGAUUAUAAAGGUGGCUUAGGCGUCCAACAAGCAGGCGCAGCGUUGACGAAGCCAGGGAAACAACAUGAAAUGAAAUCGGCGCCAGCGAAGGCGGACCGACGCCUCUACGCAACGAGGCGAGGCCUCUGCACAACUGCGUCGUCAUAGCAGCAUUCACGCUGCGGCUGUUCCUCCUGGAGCGGAGCUGAUGGCUGUGAAAGCCAUGGACAUGUGCAACAAUACACACUAUAUAUUCACUCGUACCAUGCAGAAAAUGGCACGACGUAGCUGCUCCACACAAUUGCAAUACCUGUACACUGGCCCGGAGAGAGCAAAAUGUAUACUGAGAACAAAUUCUCACUCGGCAUGGAGCUGGCCACUCCAAAGGUUCUACCAACACGCCCUUUCGUUCAAAUCAAGGUUAAAAAAAAGCGAAUUCCGUCUAUGAUCUGCGUCACAUCAGCGUUGUCUAGUCUUAUACGCGAUGUAUCUUGGAGGACUGCCGAAAAUUCUUAUAUAGCGCUAGAAAUAAAAACGCAAUUUUUUAAAA